ensembl:misc_RNA 7SK 7SK RNA
GGAUGUGAGGGUGAUCUGGCUGCGACAUCUUUCACCCCAUUGAUCGCCAGGGUUGAUUCGGCUGAUCUGGCUGGUUAGGCAGGGGUCCCCUUCCUCCCUCACCACUCCUUGUGCGUCCCUCCCAAAGCUGCGCGCUCUGUCAAAGAGGACAACCUUCCCGGAUAGAGGAGAGGACCGUUCUUUCGUCAAGGGUAUACGAGUAGCUGCGCUCCCCUGCUAGAGCCUUCAAACAAGCUCUCGAAACAUAGGCAAUACAUACUUAAAAUUCAUGACUUCCUAAUUAUUUUACUACAUUCUGUGCUCUUGAAGUUAUU